CCCUCUCUAGCGGUAGAGCGUGAGACUCUUAAUCUCAAGGUUGCGGGUUCGACCCCCGCAUCGGGCU